rnacentral:rRNA from 1 species
CCUACGGGAGGCAGCAGUGGGGAAUAUUGCACAAUGGGGGAAACCCUGAUGCAGCGACGCCGCGUGAGUGAAGAAGUACUUCGGUAUGUAAAGCUCUAUCAGCAGGGAAGAAAAUGACGGUACCUGAUUAAGAAGCACCGGCUAAUUACGUGCCAGCGGCCGCGGUAAUACGUAGGGGGCAGGCGUUAUCCGGAUGUACCGGGUGUAAGGGGAGCGUAGACGGCAGCUCAAGUCUGGAGUGAAAUGCUGGGGCUUAACCCCGGAACUGCUUGGGAUACUGUGAAGCUAGAGUGCAGGAGAGGUAAGUGGAAUUCCUAGUGUAGCGGUGAAAUGCGUAGAUAUUAGGAGGAACACCAGUGGCGAAGGCGGCUUACUGGACUGUAACUGACGUUGAGGCUCGAAAGCGUGGGGAGCAAACAGGAUUAGAUACCCUAGUAGUC